CAGAGAGCUGCAGAGGAGGCCAGAAGGAGGAGGAUGAGAAUCGAGCGAAGAAGGUGGCUCCUUAAGAAGAGACAAAAAGAGAUGGAGCAAAUGCACAGGGCCUUGAGACAACUGCAAAAGCAAAUGGAUAGGCUGAUUCAAAUGAAUAGGGAAACAAACAGCAUGGUCAAGAAGAUUUGCAUUUGCUCGCGGACAGAGACAUUUGAAGGAGGAGCCAGCCAAAUGCCAGGAGAUUGAUUCAAAUUGUAGGCCUUGCAUUUGCUCGGGGAUGGUGGCGUUUGAAGGAAGAUCGGGCCAAAUGACUGAUACCUAUUUUUAAAUAGCUUAGAAAUAGUUUCAGUAUUGUAAACAUUUACUAAACAUUUAGUAAAAUAACUAGAUUUAGCACUGUUUUCCUAAUUUUCAUAAUUUUAAGGCAGAAUAAUACUCCAGUAAAAUAUCAUUAUAAUGGUAAUAAUAAGUAAUAGUUAGGUACCUAAAUGUAUUAUUUACUUUAUAGAUUAACUGUUAUUCAGCAAAAUUAAUAGGAAUUAUGCUAAUUAAUUACAAUAGAAGUAUGAUAAAUCUUUAUCUUAAAUAGUGAAUUUUACAUAAUCUGCAUGAAAAAAUAAUUAUUUUUUACAUUAUUAAUAUUAAUAUAUAACCAUAUACAGAUUGCAGUUAGAUAAUUUUGACGAUAUUCAAAAUUCGUUAAUUUCAAUGUUUAAAACAUGUUAUUGUAACCUGAUAAUGAUGCUGACAGCCCUCCUCUCUUGGGAGUGUCAUCCCUCUGGGAGCUGCAGUCAGUGUAAAGAUCCAAUAAAGGCAAUGCCUGAACAAACA